GUCCACGCCGUAAACGAUGAUUGCUAGUUGUCGGGGAGUUUACUCUUCGGUGACGCAGCUAACGCAUUAAGCAAUCCGCCUGGGGAGUACGGUCGCAAGAUUAAAACUCAAAGGAAUUGACGGGGGCCCCGCACAAGCGGUGGAGCAUGUGGUUUAAUUCGAAGCAACGCGCAGAACCUUACCACCUUUUGACAUGCCUGGACCGCCAGAGAGAUCUGGCUUUCUCUUCGGAGACUAGGACACAGGUGCUGCAUGGCUGUCGU
rnacentral:rRNA from 1 species